rnacentral:tRNA from 1 species
AGCAGGGGUACAUGUAGAGCACACGACUCAUAAUCGUGGGGUCACGGGUUCAAGUCCCGUCCUCGCUACCA